AUUCAGCUCCAAUGGAUAGAACUCUGAUUAGAAAACAUCAAAGUUCACGACCACAUUCCCAAUGCAUUGAUAACAAUUAUCUAACUUUAAUGUAAGUUCUUUAAUUAGUAACUAGAUAUUUUUAAGUUGUUAAGAAACUAACAAUUAAGUAAUAGAUCUUUUAACUUAAGUAAUUAAAUUAAAGUAAAUGAUGCAAUUAGUUGAAACAGAGACAAGAGAAAGCUGUGAUGUGAGAACAGAAUGAAAAAAAAAAAAAAAG